ACCCCUUCAUCAUCAUCAUCGUAGAGGCAAACAGCUCUCCGUCUUUUGGGCAGUUGAUUAACUGGAACUCUAGUAUUAUUAGAAGCAGAGUCAUUUUUCAGCUCCACAGGACCUUUUUCAGUCUUAUCAUUGGAAUUAAGGGACACAGAGUCAGACAUUGCCUCCAUUGCCCGCCUGCGACGUUUUGAUACAGGCAGCACAGCUUCAUCACUGGAAACAUCAGAUCUAACUUUU
rnacentral:misc_RNA from 1 species